rnacentral:rRNA from 1 species
AUUGAACGCUAGCGGAAUGCUUUACACAUGCAAGUCGAACGGCAGCACGGACUUCGGCCUGGUGGCGAGUGGCGAACGGGUGAGUAAUGCAUCGGAACGUACCCAGUAGCGGGGGAUAACUACGCGAAAGCGUAGCUAAUACCGCAUACGCCCUACGGGGGAAAGGGGGGGAUCGCAAGACCUCUCACUAUUGGAGCGGCCGAUGGCGGAUUAGGUAGUUGGUGGGGUAAAGGCCUACCAAGGCGACGAUCCGUAGCUGGUUUGAGAGGACGACCAGCCACACUGGGACUGAGACACGGCCCAGACUCCUACGGGAGGCAGCAGUGGGGAAUUUUGGACAAUGGGGGAAACCCUGAUCCAGCCAUUCCGCGUGUGUGAUGAAGGCCUUCGGGUUGUAAGGCACUUUUGGCAGGAAAGAAAUAGCUCAGGUUAAUACCUUGGGUUGAUGACGGUACCUGCAGAAUAAGCACCGGCUAACUACGUGCCAGCCGCCGCUGUAA